UUAAUUGAUGUGCCACGUGUCGACCAUUGUGGGUGCCACGUCAGCGAAGACUAAGUCAAAAGUGGUCUUGGGGGUCAAAACUGCCAAAUACCCAAUACAUAGGGGGCUGUUUUAUAUUUUAAUUAGUUAGAGGUCAAAAUCGUAACUUUCAAAAAGAUAGGAGGUCAAAAGUGCAAUUAAACCUAAAAAAAAAUGCAUGUUUUCUUUAAAUAUUUUUCAUGAAAAAAAAAUGAAGCAUUUUCUUUUUGUUUUUCGGAAGAAACCCCAAUCAAACAUUAGAAGAAAUGUGCAGAAACUUGAAUUCAGCAAUGGAAGAAGGAUGGUGACGUUUUUUUUAGAGAAAACAUAA
rnacentral:lncRNA from 1 species